UUGUUCAACUUCCAGAGCUUGUUGACAGUGGUGUUACUGCUGAUUUGUACAUGUGCAUAUAUCAGAUCCAUAGCACCAAGUUUACUGGACAAAAACAAGACUGGAAUAUUAGGAACCUUUUGGAAAUUUGCCAGAAUAGGUAA